rnacentral:rRNA from 1 species
UACGUAGGGCGCAAGCGUUGUCCGGAAUUAUUGGGCGUAAAGAGCUCGUAGGCGGUUUGUCGCGUCUGUCGUGAAAGCCCACGGCUUAACCGUGGGUCUGCGGUGGAUACGGGCAGACUAGAGUGCGGUAGGGGAGACUGGAAUUCCUGGUGUAGCGGUGGAAUGCGCAGAUAUCAGGAGGAACACCGGUGGCGAAGGCGGGUCUCUGGGCCGAUACUGACGCUGAGGAGCGAAAGCGUGGGGAGCAAACAGG